rnacentral:misc_RNA from 1 species
AAGUCGUAACAAGGUUUCCGUAGGUGAACCUGCGGAAGGAUCAUUAACACGUAUCCAACGUUAAAACAACCCUGUGCUUGCUCGCGUGGCUUGGUAAAUCAUUGUCGACCAGAUUUUGAGUCAGGGACCUCUGCCGAUGAGAGUUACGCUCGUAGCGAUGCAAGCGACCUGGCACCCCCAAGCAAUCAGAGUUCUGAAAGCGUCUUUGAUUGUGUAAGGGUGGCGCAAACACGAUCGUUGGAGGCCGACACGGCCGACGACCGGGUCCCUGGGUCACCAUGCCCCUUAAAUCACCACACUGUAACGCCGACAGGUCGCGAUAAUUCCGCUGACCACAAAAAACCGAACAACUGUUAACAAUGGAUAUCUUGGUUCUC